CAACCAGGACAGAAUCCGGCGCCCCAACCGGGACUAGAACCCGGUGUGCCGGCGCCGCUAGGCAGAGGAUUAGCCUAGUGAGCCGCGGCGCCGGCCGCAUUUCUAACCAGAUCCAAGGUGCUGCUGCUGCUGGUGGUCCACAGAUCACAGUUUGAGUAGCAAAGCCGUAAGAUGCACUCUCCUUUCUGCCUUUGGUCCAUGCACUUGCAAACAUGGCUUCUCUGCUGAACCCCUACGUGUCAUUCCCCUGACUCAUUCCCUACAGGGAAGUCUCACGGCUCUGCCGUGCCCUUGGCACUGACCUUGUGGACCUGACACCUGAUUCCACUGUUUUCUCCAUCUGGGCUCCCCUGGUGCAGGCGAGCGGGUGGUGGCUGCCGCUGCUGCAGGCUCCGCUCCAUCUCCUCAGCACAGGCUGUAGGAGCUCCAUGGCUUGGGGGUGGGGAGGGCCUCGGAGCACCGUUCGUGUGGGACAAACAUGUCCUUUCUUUUUUUGCUAAAUAAAAGAUUUUUAUUUAUUUAUUUGAAAGUCAGAGUUACACAGAGAAAGAAGGAGAGGCAGAGAGAAAGGGGGGGUCUUCCAUCCACUGGUUCACUCCCCAGUUGGCCAAAAUGGUUGGAGCUGGGCUGAUCCGAAGCCAGGAGCCAGGAGCUUCUUCCGGGUCUCCCAUGUAAGUGCAGGGGCCCAAGGACUUGGGCCAUCUUCUAGUGCCUUCCCAAGCCAUAGCAGAGAGCUAGAUCAGAAGUGGAACAGCCGGGACUUGAACAGGCACCCAUAUGGGAUGCUGGCACUGUAGGCGGUGGCUUUACCCGCUAUGCCACAACGCCAGCCCCAAACAUGUCCUUUCUCUAUCCAGGGAUAGGCAGUCUCUGCCCCGCUCUGAUGACACCAUGGAAACACACCCCUGAAUGCCCAUGGAGUUUCCUCCCCACAUCCCCCACCCUUCCUUGUUCUCACUGCCACUCCCUGAGCAUUCACUUCAAAUCGGUGCCUUAGAGGGUGUCUUUGGCAGAAGUAAAAAUAAUUAUGAAUCUUAAGUCAAAAAGCCUGGGUGGGCGUUUGGUGCAGCGGUUAAGUAGCCGCUUGAGACACCUGUGUAUCCCAUACUAGAGUACUUGCUUCAAGUCCCAGCUCCGCUUCUGAUCCAGCUUCCUCCUGACGCACACCUUGGGAGGCAGCAGGUGAUGGCUGAAGUGCUUGGGUCCCUGUCACCCACAUGGGAGACUAGACUGAGUUCUGGCUCCUGGCUCUGACCUGGCACAGUUCUGGCUAUUGCCAGCAUUUGGGGAGUGAAACAGCAGAUGGAAGAUUCCUCUCUCUGUGUCUCUGUCUCUCUCCAUCUCUCUCUCUCUCCCCUUCUCUCUCUUUCAUCCCUCUCUGUCUCUGCCUUCCAAAUAAAAUGAAAAAUAAGAAAUUUUUUAAAACUGCAGGUUUGAAUAUCAAACAUGUAAACUUGAGUUCUUAAUUGCUUCCUGUGGCUAAUGGGUUUGCUCUGAGACUACCUAGGCACCCAGACUAAAAGGUGGAAGUGAGAGAUUGCUUGAGAGGAGGAGGAGGAAGAGGAAGCCCCUUGGAUGUGGAAGAAAAUCCCCAAGGCCUCUGCAUCAGGGCAGCAGGAAUGAGCCGGGACUCAGCCAUAGCUGAGGUCUACAAGCUGUUCAUUUGGAUGGCUUUUCCCCCAUCAGGAUCGUCUGAUGUGAAAGGAAACCAGAGACCCACAGACUCUCGCCAGAUGCCGGAGCAUGCUAUACAGGACAGGGCCUCCACCCAUCUUUCCAGUAAGCAGAAUCAUAUCUUGACCAGAGAUCGAAUCAUGACCACAGGGAGGGUGGAGAAAGAAACUGUUCUCGAAACCUAUCUCUCGUACAGAACACAGAAACUCGCACGCCAGAGGGAAGUACGUCGUCCCAGGCUACCUCCUGUGUCCAUCUGUGCCUCCUUCCCUGUGGCUCCCAGGUGCACAGGCAGUACCCAGGGAGGAAGCAGCAGCCCCAUGAAGACAAACAGCAACCACACAAAGAGGGAGAGGCACCCACCCCUUCACAGAGCCCCUGCCUGCUCUGUCACAGCCCCAGCCAGCCACACAGCUCCAUGCUGAAACGCACGCCUCACUGUGUCUAGAGAGGCCAUCGUCACCUCCCCACCUAUCGCGGGACAGAAGAGAUCAAGCUCUUGCUGACCCUGUGCUGCAAUUCUGCGGACACAACUGCAUCUCUUUAACACAGAUUGUAUAAAUGGAUCUCUUAUCACAAAGGAUGGCACAGAAAUUCUGGCUUAGGGGUAGGUAUAGAAGGUGAGUGUUUGGCACAGUGAUUAACGCACGGCUUGAGACACCCAAAUCCCAUAUUGGAGGAGCUGGGUUCAAGUUCUGGCUCUGCUCCCAAUUCCAGCUUCGUGCUAAUGUAUACCUUGUGAGGUAGCGGGUGAUGACUCAAGUACUUGGUCCCUGCCACCCACACGGCAGACCCAGAGUUCCUGGCUCUUGGCUUCAGCCUGGCCCUGCUGUUGUAGCCCUGGAGAAUGAAUGAACAGACGAAAGAUCUCCCUUUCAUUCUCUCCCCAUCCUCUCUUCUCCACCCUUGUUUUCUAUCUCUCUGCCUUUCAAAUAAAAUGAAAAUUUAAAUUUGUUUCAAUUAAAAAGUAAAGAAAUUCAUGUGUAGUUUCAGGGCACCAAAUGGAUAGCACCUUCAACAGUCUGGAAAUUCAGGAGGUGCGUGGUUAAGCUAAGGUCAGCAGUUCGGAUGCACGCUCAAGCACAGAUGGACCAACGGGGAGAUUGGCAGAGAAGACUGCAGCUUUGACAUUGUGGAACCCAGAGACCAGAUGGAUACAGCUCUCUGCUAUGGCCUGGGAAAGCAGUAGAAGAUGGCCCACGUGCUUGGGGCCCUGCACGUGUGUGGGGGACCCAGAAGAAGCUCCUGGCUCCUGGCUUCCGAUUGGCACAGCUCCGGCCACUGCAGCCAUUUGGGAAGUGAACUAGCAAGGGAGGACUUUUUUCUCUGUCUUUCCCUCUCACUGUCUGUAACUCUACCUCUCAAAUAAAUAAAUAAAAUCUAAAAAGGGGUGGGGGGCAGAUCCCGAGUCUCUGCAGCUCUGGCCAGCCAGGUGAUGGCCUUUCUGCCCUCCCCACAGAAGGCUGGUGAGCAGAGGGGCUGGUUUGCAGGGCAGGGCUGUGCCACUGAGGGCCGAGGAAUUCCAUGAAUGUGGGCAUCUGGGUACAGAGCCCUGCCCCAGCCUCGUGCUUCAUUCAGUUCCCAGAAAGGGCUCCGACAGCUGAGGCUGUCAAGCCCCGCUCGCUCGUGCAGUCAAAGCAUGGGCUCAGCUGUUGCAGGCUCGCUGUCCAGCUCUGCCAGGCAAGCAAGCAGCUGAAGACGGCAUCUAACACGAUGGGCAAGUCCCAGACGCGCAUGGAACAGUCAACCGCAGGAAAAUGAGACUGCAGGGAGAUGACGAUAUAAAUACACACGCAGGGGUGUGCGUGUGUGUGUGUGUGUGUGUGUGUCCUCAAUGCCUUUAGGGAAAUGAGAAAUAUUAUCUAUGAAGUGAUGACAGGAAGCUAGAAAGAAGCAUGGCCAGAGAACAAAAUGAACAUUGAGAAAACAAAACUGAGACUCGAAAUAGAAGGAAUGGAAGACAGAGUCAAAGAAUCCCCCAGCAGACAGAAGCCAAAACUCAAGGGAAUGAAAAAUCGGGGCAGGAGUUCCAGGCAGCAGAUGCUACGAAGGCGAUCAGUCUGGGAGACCCAGUAUCUGAGCAGUAGGUUCUGCACAAAGAGAAAGCAAGCAAGCAAAGGAAGGGGAAGAAAUCAUCGCAGAAACGCUUUAGGGAGGUUUCCCAGAACUACAGACGUUUCCAAACUGUGAGUUCUGGCACAGACGGAGAAAAUCGGGCCACCCCAACCCACGCCACUGUGAACACUGCAGACAAGACAGUGUCCUCCAACACUGCUCGAGGGGAGGCGCCAGGGCAUCAGAAUGGUUUGGGAUUUCUCAAUUCAAUCCCGGAAGCCAGAGGACAUAAGGGAAUCAUGCCCACCAAACUCUGAAGAAAAGAAAAAAAGCCCUCUGGGAAUUAAGUUUGAGGGCAGAGCAAAGAUAGUUUCAGAAAUGCAAUAAUAAGAAAAAAUUUAUCUUCAAAGUUUCUAUCUCAGGGAGCCACCAGUGGAUGUUGUGGAGAACUAAAAUUAAAAACAAAAUCUUCUCCCAAUCCAGGAAACCUCUCCAUAAAGGUAGUAAAGGGAAAUUGUUUUAUUAUUUUUUAUUAUUGAUUUGAGAGAAAGAGAAAGAACUCCAUGGGCCAAUGCUGGAGCCAGGAGCUGGGAACACAAACCAGGUUUCCCACGUGGGUGGCAGGAACCCAGUUAUCUGAGCCCUCAGAUACAGAGGGCUCCCCACUGCCUCCCAGUUAUCUGAGCCCCUCCCCCCUCUAUGCCUCCCAGGGUCUGCACUGGCAGGAGGCUGGAGCCAGGAGAGGCGCCGGCACUAUAACAUGGGAUACAGGGAUUUUAAAUGGUGUCUUAACAGUAGCCCAACGCCUUGCCUUACAUUUCAGAGAUGGCUCCCAGGUCCUUGAGAUAAACAUUCCCAGGUCCCUAAAAUGGCCAAGAGGCUUAUUUAACUUCUAACAAAGUUUACAAACAUUUCAAAACAACAGAGAAAAACUUACAAUGGCAAGUUUUUCUAAAGUAAAAAAUCUGGGGCCAGUGCUGUGGCAUAGCGGCUAAAGCUGCGACCUGCAGUGCCAGCUUCCCAUGUGGGUGCCAGUUCCAGUCCUGGCUGUUCCACUUCCAAUCCAGCUCUCUGUUAUGGCCUGGGAAAGCAGUGGAGGAUGGCCCAAGUCCUUGGGCCUUUGCACCCAUGUGGGAAACCCAGAGGAAGUUCCUGGCUCCUGGCUUGGGAUCAGCCCAGCUCCAACCAUCGGAGCCAUUUGGGGAGUGAACCAGUGGAUGGAAGACCUGUCUCUCUCUCUCUUUCUGCCUCUGCCUCUCUGUAACUCUGCCUUUCAAAUAAAUAAAUAAAUCUUAAAAAAAAAAAAAGUGAAGUAAAAUAUCUAAGAAAAGGAAGGAGGGAGAUCUCGUCCCUCAUUUUCAACAGGGAGAACCAAGUCUCUUAUGUUUAAUUUUUAUUUGUUCUUGCAAUGUGCUCCACCAAAGUGAGAGGGUAAACAGAGAAAGAGGCAGACCAAGGGCAUCAGAAAGAGGAGACCCCAAGGACAACCUGAGGCAGGGGGCAAGGGUGGGUUCAGGUCGGUGGCCGUGCAGCCUGCACCAGGGAGAUCAGAUUGUGAGCCCCUGAUGCACCCACAUUCAUGGUAAUACAAGAACAAGCAGGUAAGAACAAAGCAAUUAUUAACCCUGGGGAAAACAGAAAGCCGGACAGGAAAGGAAAAAAUAAUCAGAAGUCGGAACGUGGCUGAGUUGUGAAUGGCAUUGCCAAACCAUGCAGUGUAAACGCUCACUCUGGUGUAUGCGGAUUACGACCUAGCUUCACAGAG